rnacentral:rRNA from 1 species
GGUGAGUAAUGCCUAGGAAUCUGCCUGGUAGUGGGGGACAACGUUUCGAAAGGAACGCUAAUACCGCAUACGUCCUACGGGAGAAAGCAGGGGACCUUCGGGCCUUGCGCUAUCAGAUGAGCCUAGGUCGGAUUAGCUAGUUGGUGAGGUAAUGGCUCACCAGGGCGACGAUCCGUAACUGGUCUGAGAGGAUGAUCAGUCACACUGGAACUGAGACACGGUCCAG